rnacentral:rRNA from 1 species
CCUACGGGUGGCUGCAGUGGGGAAUAUUGGACAAUGGGCGAAAGCCUGAUCCAGCCAUGCCGCGUGUGUGAAGAAGGCCUUCGGGUUGUAAAGCACUUUCAGUGGGGAAGAAAGCCUUGGGGCUAAUACCCUCGAGGAAGGACAUCACCCACAGAAGAAGCACCGGCUAACUCCGUGCCAGCAGCCGCGGUAAUACGGAGGGUGCGAGCGUUAAUCGGAAUUACUGGGCGUAAAGCGCGCGUAGGCGGUCUGAUAAGCCGGUUGUGAAAGCCCCGGGCUCAACCUGGGAACGGCAUCCGGAACUGUCAGGCUAGAGUGAAGAGGAGGCAGGUAGAAUCCCCGGUGUAGCGGUGAAAUGCGUAGAGAUCGGAAGGAAUACCAAUGGCGAAGGCGGCCUUCUGGACGGACACUGACGCUGAGGUGCGAAAGCGUGGGUAGCAAACAGGAUUAGAUACCCCAGUAGUC